AGCAGUGUCGUGGUAACGUAGGGGUGGAGCUCCACUCUACCUCGAAGACGCUAGCAAGCUCCACCAUUUGAAGCACGCCAGCCACCGCCCGCCGCUCGUUGGUAUCACUGAGAAGCAGCAGCAGGCAAGAGCUAUAUAGAAGAAAACACAUCUGGAAGGAGGGGGAAGAAGUGAUUCAUGAUUCUUUUGCUGGAUAAGAAGCAAUUCAUGGUGCUUUUGCUGGAGACGGCAGGGUGCCGGUGAGCUGGUCACCAGUGGAGCUCCUCUACAAAGGGGAUGGUGAGGGGUGUACUGCUCCCGUAUGGAACGCGAGGGGCCAGAGCUCCUCGCCUAUGAAAAGGAUGGGUAGAAUAAGAGGUGGCUAUUGGAUGAUCUCGCUGAAUAGAGGCAGAGGUAGCCAUGGUCACCAGCAGAGCUUUAGCGCAAGGGAUCAGGGGGGCGGGAGGAAGAUGGCGAGGCAGUCGAAGAGGCAGCGCUCGAUUCUUCAAGCGGCGGCAAUACCGGGGAGGCGGGGAAGCGAUAACAGCCGCAGAUGGGGUAAUCGGAUAUGAGUAGC
rnacentral:lncRNA from 1 species